rnacentral:rRNA from 1 species
GACGAACGCUGGCGGCGUGCUUAACACAUGCAAGUCGAACGGAAAGGCCCUGCUUUUGUGGGGUGCUCGAGUGGCGAACGGGUGAGUAACACGUGAGUAACCUGCCCUUGACUUUGGGAUAACUUCAGGAAACUGGGGCUAAUACCGGAUAGGAGCUCCUGCUGCAUGGUGGGGGUUGGAAAGUUUCGGCGGUUGGGGAUGGACUCGCGGCUUAUCAGCUUGUUGGUGGGGUAGUGGCUUACCAAGGCUUUGACGGGUAGCCGGCCUGAGAGGGUGACCGGCCACAUUGGGACUGGGAUACGGCCCAUACUCCUACGGGAGGCAGCAGUCGGGAAUAUUGCACAAUGGGCGGAAGCCUGAUGCAGCAACGCCGCGUGCGGGAUGACGGCCUUCGGGUUGUAAACCGCUUUCGCCUGUGACGAAGCGUGAGUGACGGUAAUGGGUAAAGAAGCACCGGCUAACUACGUG